AAGCCUUUUAACAAAGCUCGAUUCGAUGUGCUGGUUAAUUUUCUAAAAAUGAUUCGUUUUGAGGAUUAAUUUUUUUUANCCUUUUAACAAAGCUCGAUUCAAUGUGCUUGUUAAUUUUCUAAAAAUGAUUCGUUUUGAGGAUUAAUUUUUAAAUAAAUUUGUGCAUUUCAUUUCUUUUAUGCACAAAUUUAGGGGGAGAAAAUCCAAAAACAUUAAAAAAAAUUAGAAAAACCAAAAACAUUAAAAAAAAAUUCCGAAAAAAUCCAAAAACAUUAAAAAAAUUAGAAAAACCAAAAAC
rnacentral:lncRNA from 1 species